AUGACCCAACUUAUUCAAUCACUUCCAUUAUCUUUCUAUUGCUACAAAUCGACAACAAAAAACAUCCCUCGGAAUUCCUGUUCGAUAGGAAAAAAUAGCUCUUCAACCAGAAAUAGCAAGCAACAUGUUUUUCUUCUCUCUUCCGGGCACACACCCUAUCGGGUGACGCCAAACACCCUAAAGGGAACGCAACACUUCCUAUAA
rnacentral:rRNA from 1 species